GGGUCAAGUCUGAUAUCUUUAGGAGGGGCGAAGCUCCUCUUAUUGUGAGGGCGAGUUAUAUAACACCAUAGGACUGGCCGUCCCAUAUGAAAAGAUUAUAUUAGAAUUGAAUGAAGCUUUGUUUAUAUAUUGAUAAUGACAGUAUAUAUAUCGUGUCUUGACUAAUUGCGUGCCAGCAGUCGCGGUAAUACGUAAGAGACUAGUGUUAUUCAUCUUAAUUAGGUUUAAAGGGUACCCAGACGGUCAAUAUAGCUUAUAAAAUGUUAGUACUUGACUAGAGUUUUAUGUAAGAGGGCAGUACUUGAGGAGGAGAGAUGAAAUUUCGUGAUACCAAAGGGACUCUGUAAAGGCGAAGGCAGCCCUCUAUGUAAAAACUGACGUUGAAGGACGAAGGCACAGAGAACAAACAGGAUUAGAUACCCAAGUAGUCUUUGCAGUAAAUGAUGAAUGCCAUAGGUUAGAUGGGUGGGCUCGUAUAGUUGAGUUAGUUUAGCAAACUAAUGAUCUAGACGAGCCCACCGUAUAUUUGGUCUAUAAAUGAAAGUGUAAGCAUUUCACCUCAAGAGA
rnacentral:rRNA from 1 species